CUACGGGUCGCAGCAGUGAGGAAUAUUGGUCAAUGGACGAAAGUCUGAACCAGCCAUGCCGCGUGCAGGAUGAAUGCCCUAUGGGUUGUAAACUGCUUUUAUAUAGGAAUAAACCCCCGCUCGUGAGCGGGGCUGAAGGUACUAUAAGAAUAAGGACCGGCUAACUCCGUGCCAGCAGCCGCGGUAAUACGGAGGGUCCAAGCGUUAUCCGGAUUCAUUGGGUUUAAAGGGUCCGCAGGCGGGAAAUUAAGUCAGUGGUGAAAGCCUACAGCUUAACUGUAGAACUGCCAUUGAUACUGGUUUUCUUGAGUAUAGAUGAAGUGGGCGGAAUGUGUCAUGUAGCGGUGAAAUGCAUAGAUAUGACACAGAACACCGAUUGCGAAGGCAGCUCACUAAACUAUUACUGACGCUCAGGGACGAAAGCGUGGGGAGCGAACAGGAUUAGAUACCCGGGUAGUC
rnacentral:rRNA from 1 species